UAGAUAUGCAGGUUUCCUCACGAUGUUUUUCUUCACCGUAAGAGCGAUGGUAUACAUUGUACUUAAAUUCAAAGAACUCAUUGGCACAUGUGGGUGUUGACCCCCGUAUCUCUGGCGCGAGAAGCGGGCGCUUAUCCGACUGAGCUACACUGGUCUAUCAGUUUCAAUAUCAUUUAAAUGACUUUAUUGUUUUAAAAUAAUGUAUUUCUACACUUACCUUCUCAUUAUAGAGGCAUGGCCCGGGGGCAGCGGCGGUAUUCCCGAAAAAAUAGGAAAGCUGAAAUUUAGAAGAAAAAAAAUAUUAAAUAAAGAUAUAAGAAGAGAUGUAAGAAGGCAAGCUGACAAUGGGAUGGGUGCUUCCCCUUGGUGAUGAAAAUGCCGCACCGCCACUGUGACUAAUGCUGAUGCUGUUGCUACAAAUAGUGCUUUGCCCGACGGAAUUGAAAUUAUGUGAACUCCCAGCGCAGAGGCUGAAGCCAAAGGAGACAUGAUGGUUUUGCAGCGCGAGCAGAUACAAUGCGAUAGCAAGAAGGCGGACACCAUGGAAAUGGUAGCUGCAGCAAGAAAUACACAAACUGCUGUAAAUUAGGCCCACAAUGCCAGAUGAAUGGCAUUCAUAGAAGCAGGACUUGAGUUGUGGAAAAAUGUAGAUAGUAUUCCUAAUCGUAAUUCAUUAAUGAAUCCUACUUAAUAUAACAAAAACAUGUCUUUAAAUGCAUCAACAUGGUACCUAAGUUAUAUACUUUUUUCUAGGCUCUUGAGAAAAAGGAGGAAUAGUUCUAAUUAUGUAAUAACUUGAUUGUUACUGAAUGAUUAUGAGAAUACUCAAAGACUUAUAUGGGAAAUAAGGCUUUUAUCAUUAAUAUUAUUAGUUUUAUUAAAGCUUUGUUGUUUUCCAAGAUGAUUUAGUCAGCAGUGGAUAUCUGACUUUAGAAAACAUAUACUUAGGUAAUUUGGUUAUUCUAGGAAAGAGACUUAAAUAAACAAACUGUGAUUAAUUUGUUGUUUAAAUAAAUAUAAAGUGAAUGUGUA